UACGUAGGGGCCUAGCGUUGUCCGGAAUUAUUGGGCGUAAAGAGCUCGUAGGCGGCUCGGUAAGUCGGGUGUGAAACCUCCAGGCUCAACCUGGAGACGCCACUCGAUACUGCCGUGGCUAGAGUCCGGUAGAGGAGCGUAGAAUUCCUGGUGUAGCGGUGAAAUGCGCAGAUAUCAGGAGGAAUACCAGCGGCGAAGGCGGCGCUCUGGGCCGGUACUGACGCUGAGGAGCGAAAGCGUGGGGAGCAAACAGG
rnacentral:rRNA from 1 species